UUGUAUGUAACACCAGCUACGGCUUCUUCACUGUUCUUCAUUCUUGAUUUCUCCAAGAAAUCGAAAUUUGUUCCUUGGAGAUGGUUUUACACAAAAAGCUUUCUACUUGCUGUAUAUCUCAUGAGUUCUAUAAAGUUGCUACGAACAACCCCAACAAGAUUGCAGUCAUUCAAGCUUGUGGGGGUCUCAAAAUCGCCAAAGAAUUUCGACUUUCUUGCAGUGAAAAUGGCGACCAAGACAACCGGGAGAAGUUUCAAGAGUUUGUUUCUUCUAAAAUGAAGUCGGUUAAUCCCCCGAUAUACGAAGGUGAUCAGUGCUUCACGUUUUCCGAGAUAUUGUCCGCCGUUGAUUCUCUUAGUUCACGGCUCCGAUGCAUUCUUGAUGGUGGUGAUGACCCCAAUCUAAUAAAUUCCUCUGCAGUAGUUAAUAUUCAUCAAACUGCAAACGACUGCAGUUCCAAGGACCAGUUACUUCUGGGGUCUUCUGAUCGAGGUUUGGAGCAGUAUACACAGUUCCAUAAAACAUAUAUCCCAAGAGUAGUUGGAAUAUAUAUGGAACCUUCAGUUGAGUACAUUGUUUCUGUUUUAUCGGUUUUGAGGUGCGGAGAAGCAUUUAUGCCGUUAGAUCCAUCAUGGCCAAACGAAAGGAUAUUAUCGGUAAUAUCUUCUUCAAAAGCUGAUCUUAUUGUGGGCUAUAAAUCUUCAGUUGACAGACCUUGUCACCAGCUUGAUAAAUUACGAUGGCUCAUUCAUAAAGGCAGUUAUCCCCUUUUUUAUAUGUCAAUAGAGAAUGUCAUGCGAAAAAAAUCUGACUCAUCGUUAGCCUGGCCUUGUGAAAGUGAAAGGUUGAGAUCAUUCUGCUACUUGAUGUACACAUCUGGAUCCACUGGAAUACCCAAGGGGGUAUGUGGUACUGAAGUAGGUCUUCUGAACCGCUUCUUGUGGAUGCAAGGAUCAUUUCCCUUUCAAAAAGAAGAAAUCCUUCUUUUCAAAACAUCCAUAAGCUUCAUUGACCAUUUGCAAGAAUUUUUAGGAGCUAUACUUGCUAAUUGUACGUUGAUCAUACCUCCUUUCAAUCAGCUGAAGGACAAUAUAUUUUUAGUAGUCAAUCUCUCACAGGAAUAUUCUAUUAGCAGGCUUGUGGCAGUUCCAUCUUUUAUAAGGGCGAUUCUUCCUGCUUUGCAUAGCAUGCAUUAUCCUACAGCUCAGAUCUCCUUAAAACUUCUAGUGCUAAGUGGUGAAAUUUUUGAUAUUUCUCUGUGGAAGAUGCUGGUCAAGUUGCUACCGGAGACUACUGUUCUUAAUAUAUAUGGAAGCACAGAGGUUUCCGGUGACUGCACAUAUUUCGACUGCAAGUGGUUGCCCACAAUGUUGGAGCAAGAUGCUCUGGACAGUGUUCCAAUUGGCAUUCCUAUUGACAACUGUGAAGUGGUUCUUAUUGGGGAAAAUUCUCUUGAUGAGGGAGAGAUAUGUGUCAGUGGAAGUUGUGUUGCUUCUGGAUACUUCAUUCAUCCUUCUAUUUUGUCACUGGAUAACGUGGAAUUACAUCAAGAAAUAACUGAUGGCAAGAAGGAUGAAAAUGAAGUUUACUUUAGAACCGGGGAUUUCAGCAGAAAGCUUUCAGAUGGAAACCUGGUUUAUAUUGGGAGAAGAGACCGCACAGUAAAGAUCUGCGGGCACCGUAUUGCCUUAGAGGAGGUCGAAAGCAUUCUGAGGGAACAUCAAGAAGUAGCUGAUUCUGCUGUGGUUUCUCGUUGCGUUCAAGGAGAUAUUUUAUUUCUUGAGGCAUAUUUACUGCUCAAGCAAAAGGAAAACAAUCUUGAGGUCUUCAAGUCCACAAUUAGAUGCUGGAUGGCCAGCAAACUUCCCCCAACUAUGAUUCCUGCUCGUUUCUACUUUGUUGAAUCUUUUCCUAGGUCUUCUUCAGGGAAAGUAGAUUACAAGAUGUUGGCCACUUUUGCAGCGUCUGAGGCAGGUAACCGUAUUGCGAUUGAAGAAACUCAAGAUAUCGAUCUCGUUAAUGUUAUACAAAAGACUUUUGCUGAUGCUCUUAUGGUUGUUGACAAGAUCUCCCUUGAUGAUGACUUCUUUGAGAUCGGUGGCAAUUCUCUAUUAGCAGCUCAUGUCUCCUAUAAUCUAGGAAUCAAUAUGAAGGACUUGUAUGCUUUUCCAACUCCAUUGAAACUUCAGAAGGCCAUUCAACUUAAAAAAGUGUCCUCUAGCCGUGAACUUAGAGCUGAUGCUUUAGUGGGAGUGAACUCGCAAGAGCAAGAGAAAAGCAAGCUUCCUUCUAAUAAAUCUUGGAUGCCUGGUGCAGAUAACAGUACCGCUUUGAGUUUGACCAGUGAUUAUCCCGUUAAACGUUUGAAAACAGAUUCAGAUUUGUAUAUUGAUUCCAACGAUGCUAAUGGAAGAGAUAUGAAUAAUUCAACUUCUUCACAGGUUUCAUGUUCUUACAGUCGGUGCAACAAAAUAAGGCAUGAUGCUGGUUGUGAGGGUUACAAUUGCCACUCGAUGCUGUCUUGGGAAGUUCCACGUGAUAAAAGAGGUUUCAUGCGAGAACAGUGGAUGGUCAACAUGGAAUCUUGCGUUGAUGCAUCACCACUAGUUGUAUUUAAAGAAAGAAGUGUGUAUCUGCUUAUCGGAGCUCACUCCCACAAAUUCUAUUGCAUUGAUGCAACAAGUGGUCUUGUUUUGUGGGAGAUCAAAUUACAAGGGCGUGUUGAGAGUUCUGCAGCAAUUCUAGAUGAUUUUUCUCAGGUUAUUGUCGGAUGCUAUGAUGGGAACAUUUAUUUUCUGAAUUUUUCAAAUGGUAUCCCUUGUUGGAAUUUUCAAACACACGGAGAGGUAAAAUCACAGCCAGUCAUUGACAAGAAGAGGCACUUGGUCUGGUGUGGGUCGCAUGACCACAAUCUCUAUGCCCUUGAUUAUGAGAAUCACUGCUGUGCUUACAAAAUUCAAUGCGGCGGUAGCAUAUUCGGUUCACCUGCACUUGAUGAGGUGCAAGAAAAACUCUAUGUGGCAUCCACUAGUGGCAGAGUAACAGCACUAUUUGUUGGGGCUCCGCCAUUUGGUCAAUUAUGGGUACAAGAGUUUGGAGUUCCUAUUUUUGGGUCACUUUCAGUCAAUCCUCCAUCUGGAAAUGUUAUAUGUUGCAUGGUGGAUGGAAAUGUUGUUGCGCUGGAUACUGAGGGAUCUGUUGUCUGGAAGGUGAGUACAACUGGCCCAAUAUUUGCUGGGCCCUGCAUAUCUCAUGCGCUAUCUUUACAGGUGCUUGUUUGCUCAAGAGAUGGCAGUGUCUACUCCUUUGAUUUGAAUUCAUCCUAUGCUAACGGGGCAUUCUCCUUACCAAUUGUGUACAAUAUCCGGAAGAAGUUCUUUCUCAGUCUUUAAGGUGCUUGAAGACCAAAUUUUGGCUGUUCUGUCCAACUGUCAGGAAAAGUUUCUUAAUCUCUAUCUUUUCCUCAUUUGUCUCAUCUUUCUCAAAAUUCACCUGCACAUCAGCCGUUCUUGAGUUUUAUUCUUGUUACAGGAAUACAUGUAUUCUGCUUUUAACCUUAAGCUUCAAUGUUGGGUACUUUUGGGUUGUUGAAUUCAUACAAUAAAAGUGGCUUUUUUCAUUUACCUGGUUGAUAUUAAUUAAGAUGCACUAUUCCAAAAUUAAAUAAGGUAUAUGUCAGCCUAGGAAGUAAACACGUCGAACUUCCAAGUAUUUAUACCGCGAGAAACUCGUAGAAGACGAAACCUCCUUUUCCUUCUAUGCAAUCAGGCACUAAAUUGAAGAGGAACAUGGAAGUUCACUGCUAGAGUUAGACAUUGCAUAUUGCCUGCUUUCUUUUAGAACUUCAAACCUUUUUUUUUGUGAGGAAGGUAACAAUUGUAUUCCUAUUAAACACAAUUUCGUUCUUAAAUCAUAGUUAGUUCUUUAAACCUCUUGUAGUUAUUAGUUAAUCUAUAGUUUUUAUUAAAACUUAUAAAAUUGACGAAGUGUAUAAUUUGUAUUUCUGUCUGUAGUUAUAUAAUUGUGUCAUGCACGCCAAAUUGCAAUUUUUUUUCCGACUUUUCUUCUUUGCCUCCCUGUCCAACACGAGAAUUGUGUCUGUGUCUACCCUACAUAGUUAUCAUGCUCCAACAUUAAUACUCUUCCUCUUUUCAAAGUAUGUUUGUUGAUGAUCCUAGUGGUACCUUGAAAUUCUGCUAAACUAGACUUAGAAAGGAUCUUGCUUGUAUCAAGAAAUCUCUUUAUUUUGAGUUUGAACUUUCAAGAUAAAGAACCUAUUUUAUUUUUCAAAAUAUAGUUAUAUAUUUCUAAUUCAGCGCUACUCCUCAAAUUGGUAUCAGCAAUCAUGUCCAACAUGCUGACAAGAUUCGUGAGAGUAUUUGGUAUUUGUUGUAACAUAGGAACAAAUGACAUACAAUACCAUGCAGAUUCUACCUUCUCUUUAUGAAAUUCUGUCAAUAUCAAUAUGCUUAGCUUUGUCAUGUUGAACCAGAGUGUCUGUGAUAAUACUAAUGACUAUCUUGUUGUCUUAUUACAAUUUCAUAGGCUAGUCAUAUUAUGUCACAAGCACUUUCAGCCAUCUAUUGUAUUGCUGUGAGAUCUCUUGUUUUUCCAUGUUACUACAUUGUGCCAUACAAAUGUUCAGUACCCUUAUGUUGAAUACUUGUCAAUAUUGGUCCUGCCAGUCUGCGGACUGCAUCUGUGUACAUCAGUCAUUUUUUAAAAAACAAAUCCUUAACAGAGAUGUUUACAUAUCUUUUAAUAAAAUAUACUCUUUCGAGAUUCUCUUUUUGAGGAGAAUGCAUGCAAAUGCAAUAAUAGGUCGUUUGUGUGAAAAGUGAAUUAGCUUACCUACAGGUUUCUGCCACCGUCUUACCUAGAUGUGUUCACAGGUUCUCUAUUUUUGUCUCUGUUAAAUUGUGUGAUCAUCUCAUCUAAGUAGAAGUCGUCCUUGGAGUAAAAGAAAACUGAAGGUAAACAAAUCAAGGCUAAAUUACUAGCCUCCUGUCUUGUUCUAGAUCUUCCUGAUUAUGGGUUGGUGAUGCAUAUCAUUCAAGUUGUAUCAGCGGAUGAUGAUCUAAGCUAUUAUUAGAGAUGCCAGGCUGACAUUGACCUUUAGACCUGACCAAGAGAAAUGAGGUUUCAUGUUCUGCUAGGAAAAGGGUGAUUUAUUCUGGAAGCAUGAUGUUGGACAUCCAAUUACUUCAUCUGCCUACGUUGAUGAACACUUGCUAUUGGCAUGUCCUGAUUCUUCCCUGUCUCAAAGGUUAGUGUGUGUUUGUUCCAGUUCUGGAAGUGUACAUGUUCUUCAAGUCAGCUUGAAUUUUGACGGAGAAAAUCAACCAUGUGAUAUGGUGCGGGAAUUUGCUAGGUUUGAACUUGGAGGAGACGUCUUUUCCUCCCCUGUGAUGAUUGGUGGGGAUAUAUUUGUUGGUUGCAGGGAUGACUACAUGCACUGUAUUAGACUCCAAGAAAUACCGAUAUGAACCUAUUACAUCUUAUAACACAUGCUCAAUCUAUGGGAGUAUAAAACUCCUCAAUAUUGAAGCAUCUAUUAUUGGCAAAGGAGUUUCCUGCGAGUUAUCUGGUCAUUGCACGACAGAAGAAUCAAGAGCCUCCUUCUAAUGCUGCAAUUGCUAUGAUGAACUUUGAGAAAAGAUUGGAUGCAGUGUGGAUUUUGGUGCACUGUGAGAUUUUUGUCAACAGGCUAAAUGUCUCUCUUUGCAAAGGAAGCUUAUUUUUCCUUAUAUCACCAAGAUUGGAACUUAGGAGAGAUAACAACAACGAUGUAUACCCACUGUACUCUCACAAGUGGGGUUCGGAGAUCAUGAUGUGUAUACAGUCUUAUUCCUACCUUGUGAAGGCGGAACUAAGGAGAUACUUGAUGCAAUAUCGGACUAAAUAGUCAAUCAAGUCUUUUUCAACUGAUACUCUCUCUCAGCCAGCUUCAAGAUGACAAAAGGAAGCUCCAGUUUAAGCCUGAUGAUUGCUUCUUUGCUGAGACAAUUUUAAUUUAUACUGUUCUGGCAGCACUAAAUAACAAUCGAGUUCUAUCCAACUUCAUUUGGAUAGUCGUUAUAUAUUGUUUCAUAAACGUAUGGUAUCAUAUUAGAUUGUGUUGUAUUGUAAUGUUUUGAUGAACAUAAUGUUUAGACAGAUUGUAUUGUUGAUCACCAUUACAUAAUGUAACACGAGCAAUUUGUAGAGUAGGAUACGAUAACAAGGCAGGAUAAAUGAUGGAAUAGAAUUAUCAUCCUUUGUUCGA